GGUCUGCGGGAUCACAAAAGGGUUGGGUUUUCUGUGAAAAGCCCUUCGUUGUGCCGUCGUUUUGCCCGCCCAGUCUGACAGGUCGUAAUGGGAAGCUCCAGAGACUGAAAAAAUCAUCCCUUUUACUGAUCUUCACCUCUGAUUCAUCUCCAUCUGCUACGUGGAAAUUGUUCUCCAGCAAAUCCAUGGCUACAAAUAUGUAGCUGUGUUCAGCAAUAAAUGAUAAAAAAGGCUUUGGGAGUGUAUGUUCACUAUCACUGUACACCCCCCCUAAAGCCAUGUUUAACUUAGAGUCAUAUCGUAGAAUCAUUAGGGUUGGAAAAGACCUUCAAGAUCAUCUGGUCCAACCAUCACCAUACAACCAACAUCACCCACUAAACCAUGUCCCUAAGCACCGCAUCCAACCUUUCCAUGAAUAAAUGUUUCAUGCAAAGUAGAAUCUGGUUCAGGCUUUCUCCUAAUUAUAUGUCUUAUCCUUCAAAGUGAGUUCAGAUCAAUUAAACGGAGCUCAGAGAUGCUCAACGUUUCUCAGAUAUGUUUUGUACCAUUAGCCUUUGUACGUGUGGAAUUGCCCCCAACAAAGUUCCCCAAGAUGGUAAUCCCCAUUUAGGGAUCCACAAAAAAUAAGGGGAUGUGGGAUGGGGAAUGCAAAAUGUAAUUUUUUGACUUGUGAAUAUUAUCAAAAGCCUUCCAGGGAACUGAAGUGAUAGACAUUUUAGAAAUGUAUGUAAAAGGUUCAACUCAAAGUACUU